GGGGAAUAUUGGGCAAUGGGCGAAAGCCUGACCCAGCAACGCCGCGUGAAGGAAGAAGGCUCUCGGGUUGUAAACUUCUUUUGUUAGGGACGAUAAUGACGGUACCUGACGAAUAAGCUCCGGCUAACUACGUGCCAGCAGCCGCGGUAAUACGUAGGGAGCGAGCGUUAUCCGGAUUUACUGGGUGUAAAGGGCGUGUAGGCGGGAUCGUAAGUCAGGCGUGAAAACUGGUGGCUCAACCACCAGCCUGCGUUUGAAACUACGGUUCUUGAGUGAUGGAGAGGCAGGCGGAAUUCCUAGUGUAGCGGUGAAAUGCGUAGAUAUUAGGAGGAACACCAGUGGCGAAGGCGGCCUGCUGGACAUUAACUGACGCUGAGGCGCGAAAGCGUGGGGAGCAAAC
rnacentral:rRNA from 1 species